UGAAGAAGGAAUGCCGCCAUCAAAGGCUCUCAAUCUUUUGUGGUGGAGCAGGACCUGCAAGGUCCAUCACUUCACCUCUUACUGCCUCAUCUGGACUGGAUGUUGCUGUGGUCUCUUCAUCAUCAGUGACCCCAGAGCCAGCGAGAACAUCUAGAGAAAGACCAAAAGACAUUGAGGAUG